rnacentral:rRNA from 1 species
UACGUAGGGCGCAAGCGUUGUCCGGAAUUAUUGGGCGUAAAGAGCGUGUAGGCGGCUCGGUAAGUCCGCUGUGAAAGUCCAGGGCUCAACCCUGGAAUGCCGGUGGAAACUGUCGAGCUAGAGUCCGGAAGAGGCGAGUGGAAUUCCUGGUGUAGCGGUGAAAUGCGCAGAUAUCAGGAGGAACACCAAUGGCGAAGGCAGCUCGCUGGGACGGUACUGACGCUGAGACGCGAAAGCGUGGGGAGCAAACAGG